rnacentral:rRNA from 1 species
AUUGAACGCUGGCGGCAGGCUUAACACAUGCAAGUCGAGCGAGCGGCGGACGGGUGAGUAAUGUCUGGGAAACUGCCUGAUGGGGGGGGAGAUCUACUGGAAACGGUAGCUAUUACCCCACACCACCAGAUGUGCCCAGAUGGGAUUAGCUAGUAGGUGGGGUAAUGGCCCACCUAGGCGACGAUCCCUAGCUGGUCUGAGAGGAUGACCAGCCACACUGGAACGGAGACACGGUCCAGACUCCUACGGUAGGCAGCAGUGGGGAAUAUUGCACAAUGGGCGAAAGCCUGAUGCAGCCAUGCCGCGUGUGUGAAGAAGGCCUUCGGGUUGUAAAGCACUUUCAGCGAGGAGGCGUUACCCGCAGAAGAAGCACCGGCUAACUCCGUGCCAGCAGCCGCGGUAAUUG